GAUGAAGAACGCAGCGAAAUGCGAUAAGUAAUGUGAAUUGCAGAAUUCAGUGAAUCAUCGAAUCUUUGAACGCACAUUGCGCCCGCCAGUAUUCUGGCGGGCAUGCCUGUUCGAGCGUCAUUUCAACCCUCAAGCCCCCGGGCUUGGUGUUGGGGAUCGGCGUGCCCUCGCGGCGCGCCGUCCCCUAAAUCUAGUGGCGGUCUCGCUGUAGCUUCCUCUGCGUAGUAGCAACACUCGCACUGGAUCGCAGCGCGGCCACGCCGUUAAACCCCCCACUUCUGAAAGUUUGACCUCGGAUCAGGUAGGAAUACACGCUGAACUUAAGCAUAUCAAUAAGCGGAGGA
rnacentral:misc_RNA from 1 species